GCCCAAGCUGGUCUCGAACUUGCAAUGAUUCUCCUGUCUCAGCCUCCCGAGUGCUGGGAUUACAGGUGUGUGCCACCACGCCUGCUUCUAUGUCCUCUUUUGAGGAUGGUGCAAGGCAGUAAGAGGAGGGAUUCAGAACCACGAUGCGUGUUCCCUCCCUGGGAAGGCCAUGCCCAGGAUGUUUUUUCCCUUAACAAGCACAGUGCACCCCGUAGAGGAUGGCUUUAACCAACACCUAACUUGCUCCUUCCAGUCCCUCUCCUGAGUUUUGGAGCUGUUUGUCCAGCUGUCUCUGGACAGUUCUGGACUCCUCAAUUCAACCCUGACCUAUUGCUUAUCUCAUGUUCAAAACAAGACUCAACAUCUUUCUCCUCUAAUAUGUUCCUCUUUCUGAACUUUUCCUUAGUGGAAUGUGACAGCUAGUCUUUUCCAAUGAAGUCUUUCAUGGGGGGAAAAAAGCCUACUUUUCAAACAUUUAGUAUCCAUAUCAUAAUUUUACAUGAUUUAUAAUUUCAUGAUAAAACAUCAGCAUAGGAAAAGUUAUGCUGGAAGUUACUUCAUCAAACUAAUUUUCCAACAGGACAAAAGGGUGGUCAUUGAGAUUCUAUAUUUAAAACCUGUUAUUUCCUAGAUCCCAGCCUACUCAAGGUUAUAGAGUCACCUUGGAUUACCAUGGAUUAGUGACCAAGUUGAGAUUGCAGAUUUUGCCUUUCCUGUGCCUACAUCAACAUAGAAAGGGUGUCCUUUCUCAAUGUUCUACAGACAUACUCAUGUCCAAUGAGACACAUUACACUCUCUGAAGAAAAAGGAUUUGUUAGUUAAGUAUUUAAAUAUUAGAUUUAAGUUAGUCAGAUUUCUCUGAAUUUUUAACAUGCUUUCAUUGUAAAUCUCCAAGAAAUAGACAUACUGCUAUAUUUGAUAGGAUUUCAUUCAGCUGCAUGAACAGAAACUCAAUUCAGUCGCUUAACCAAAAUGAGAGUUUGUUUUCUUUCUAAUGAUGAGAAGUGAGGAGGUAUACAGUCUGAUACAGUGCGGUUGUUCAAGGAAAUCAUCAGGAUUUGUGUAGUUUUCUUCCUCAUGGGCAUAAAUGGCUGCUCUGCCUUUAGGAUCUGUGUUCCUGUUUUAGGCAAGAGAAAUGGAAAAAGAGAGAAAAAACCCUGACACACACCAGCCAGCUCUUAAGUACCUUUCCUAGCAGCCCUACCCACUUGCUUACGUCUAACUGUUCAAAAUAGCCUCUCUGGACUUAAAGGAAGUCCUGGGAGCCAAAUAUUCCACCCAGCUCAUUGCCAUUCUUUGCUCUGUUAGGAUUGUAUUAGGAAGAUGAGAUGUUAGAUACUGGGGGGACCACUAGGCGUGCAUGAGGUGUCAUCUAAAACUGGAGUGAAUUUUUAAAAUUUUAAAAAUGUGUUACAGUAAAAGGCACAUUACCAAUAAUCCCUCUCAAAAUACCUUCCCUCGAAAUGCUCUCCUGUGAUUGGACGGAUUUAUCCUAUCAUUCCCACCACUUUCUGAAGCAGUUCUGGACGUCAUCUUCCAGGAGUGAUUUCAGUUGCACUUUCAUGGCUGCCUCAUGUCCUGAACUGAUUCAGAGUUUACCUCUCAGGGUCAUUUUGCCUUUGGAGAAGAACUAUAAUCCUCCUGGUGUCAGAUCUGAUGAAUAAGGUUAGGACACACCCUGGUGUUUUCACCAGCCUGCCUUUCUGUUGGAUGGCACUUGGCAGUUGUAGCCACUGUAUUUUUUGUUAUAACUCAUAAAGAUAUUCAUGAAAAGGGUGUCCAGACUGCUUCAGCAAGUGGCAGGAAUGAUGGCUAAAUAUAUUCAACAUGAGGUGGGAUCUCCUGAGGGGGAUUAAUGGCCAUGUGUCUUUUACUGUCACACAAUCAGAAAACAACAAAGCCCUUAAACAUUCACCGUAAUUUUCGAUCACACCACAUAUGUCAUCAAAAGCGAGCACUGUGACAGAUGUAUUUGGCUCCAGUAUCUAUUGUCAUCUUCUCUGGCUCCUUUCUGUUGGCAGAUGGGGCUUGUGUCAUUUGGCUUGGCACCCAAACUUUCUGUGAUGUCCCAGAUCCUUGCCACGGGCUCCUGGCCACUCACAGUGAACCUCCUGCGGGCUCUGAGGUGCACAACUUCCUCCUCUCUGCUCCUGGCAGAUACCGGAGGUCAUCAUUUGAAACUCAGUUCUGACAAUCGCUGCUGUGACAACUUUCUUUCUUACACUCUCCUCUUCCAGCAGGGUUAGCUGCCCCUUGACUUCCCCAUGCUACCCUCUACACUAUUUAAUUAUUCUGUCACACUUUUCCCUUAUAAAUUGAGUGAUUAAGAACCCAAGAAGCAAACUGAAUGUGUACUUUAAUGAUGGCAAACAUUCAUAUGAAAAAAAAAGAAUAGAAAGGAAUGUCUCCAAAUACUCCACAUGACUCUGGCUCCUUGAUGUUCAGCAAUACCAUGUAAUUUCAUUUCAUUUUGUUUUUUUACAUUUCAUCUUACAAAAUACAACAAUUUAAGGCAGGAUAUAAAAAAAGCCCUAAAGAGUGACACAGAGGUCACCAGGCUCAGGUGCAGCAAUUGGGCCCAGGAAGUUAGAAGACCUUCGUGGAAAGGUGGACUCAAGCUGGGCACCGACAGCUGGGUAGGCGGUUAGUGGAAGGGAGAGUGCGGGUGAGCCUUGCUGGUGUGGGUCACAGACAUGCCCAGGUGUGGACAUGCAAAGGGCCUCAGGAAGUGGGUCGAGGCUCUCAGGAGGGGAGGAUUCAUGGGGAUCCAUGGAAAUGGGGGACAGAGGAAGGAGAGCAGGACCAAGGAGUUAAAGGCUGUGAUGGCUCAUGGGAGGCACAGGAUUAUAACUAGCAUUGGCAGAAGUGGCACAUUUCCAGGGAGGACCUGGAAGGCGGGCUGAGGAGUCCUCAGUGCAGGGGUCGACUCUAAGAUGAUGAUUGCAAACCGAGAAAGGGAGAGGGACGGGAGGAGAAUGAAGGGAUGGACAGGGCUCUGAGCACAGAGUGAGCAGAAGACUGGGAAGGAGGGAAGGGUGACCUGGCAGCUCUGAAUCGCGUCAGCUGAAAGAAUGAUAGUAUCUUUUUCAAGAACUGGAAAGUCAGGAAAUUCUGUUGGCGUGGGAGGUGGCAUGAUUCCAUCCGGGACUGGCGACUGAGAGGGGCUGGCAGGCCAGUUCUGUCCAGCAGACAGUCACCGACGAGCUUUUCACAGAGCCGUCCAGUCUCCAGGUCCAGGUAGAGUUGAAGCAGGAGGGGAAAGGGACUCUCUAAGGAAAGCCGGCAUUUACAAACAUUUACGAUCACCGGGUGAGGGAGGUGUGGAUUCCUAUCUUUUACUCUGCAAAAAAAAUCAAGACCCGCAGACUUAAGGAGAAAAAAUAAAGAAACAUCAAGAAGCAAACAAAGAAAACAUCAAUAAAAGCAAACAACAACAGAAAGCAAUAGCGCGCCAGGAUUUCAAGAUGACAGGGAUUUAACAGUGGUUCUUAGAUUGCAUGUUGUUAUCUUCAAAAAAGCUGCCUAGGUUGUGACUGUACUUGUAAUCCUAUUACUUGACCAUAGUUUUGCCCCACCUUAUACUGACCUUGUGAUUUUACUCCAUAAAGCUUCUCCUGAGAAGUGGGCUGAUUGGUUACCAUUUUCUAGGUCCCCCUUCUGUCUUAGACAAAACCCAAUAAAUAUUUCCUGCUCUGAACCCCUGAUGCUCUUUAGAAUUCAUUCUUUGAUUCUGGGGAACAUGAACUCAUGUUCCCAAUCUGUCAGAUUGGGAGUUACAUUGUUUCUCUUACAAUGUUUGCAUUAUUUGGAGGGCCUAUAUCAUUCCUAUAUCACCAUGACAACUACUAAAAAUAAAUAAUAAAACUAAAAUUUGGUAUCCCAUAACUGAAUUUUUUCUCUUAACUGGUUCUUCAUAUCUAAGGAUUACUAUCAGCUAUUUUAAACAACGCAAAAACAUUGCCUUGUUUC